rnacentral:rRNA from 1 species
GACGAACGCUGGCGGCGUGCCUAAUACAUGCAAGUAGAACGCACAGUUUAUACCGUAGCUUGCUACACCAUAGACUGUGAGUUGCGAACGGGUGAGUAACGCGUAGGUAACCUGCCUGGUAGCGGGGGAUAACUAUUGGAAACGAUAGCUAAUACCGCAUAAUAUUGAUUAUUGCAUGAUAAUUGAUUGAAAGAUGCUAUUGCAUCACUACCAGAUGGACCUGCGUUGUAUUAGCUAGUAGGUGAGGUAACGGCUCACCUAGGCGACGAUACAUAGCCGACCGGAGAGGGUGGUCGGCCACACUGGGACUGAGACACGGCCCAGACUCCUACGGGAGGCAGCAGUAGGGAAUCUUCGGCAAUGGACGAAAGUCUGACCGAGCAACGCCGCGGGAGUGAAGAAGGGUGUCGGAUCGUAAAGCUCUGUUGUAAGAGAAGAACGGGUGUGAGAGUGGAAAGUUCACACUGUGACGGUAUCUUACCAGAAAGGGACGGCUAACUACGUG